UAUAUAUAGCUUAUUUGCAAAUCUUUUGAGCAUUAUGCUUAUUUAUUUUUGGUUAUUUGGCAGCAAGUAAUAUGCAUAUCAAUUACUUUUUAUGUCUGUAAAUAUAUAUAUUCCUAAUGCCUUCUUGAGUUUAUUAUUGCAUAUCUACUAGAAAUACAAUUUUUCACAUCGUCAAUCUCAUGCAAACAGAACUGAAGCUGCAAUACUCUUCAUGUUGUCAGAGUCGAGCCACAUUGUAUUAAACUAUUAGUUUCCAGGGUAAUUAGCUCAUGGGUUCAUCUUAUGAUGGUGCUAUACGAUUUAAGUCUACCUUUUAUCUAUGCACUACUUGGGGGAAUUGUUUUGCUGCUAUUUUAGUUUCGUCUUACUGAUCCCAUCUUGAGCUUACUUUCAUGUGUUUCAGAAAGUACUGCUCCAAAAUGUUCCGUUUCUGGCACCUUCACAGGCUGGCCGCUCCUAAUAAUUUUCUAUAAUUUUGGCAUGUUAUUCCUGUCUUUUUCCAAUUGCACGCUGAUCCAGAAGGGAAAAUCAGUGUCCUGUACUUGCACAACGUAGGGAGAAACAACAGAGCACAACACGGUGUACUUGCAAAACGUAGGGAGCAGCAACAGAGCACAACACGGUUGGCGUUAUUUUGAAAAUUGGAACGCAACCCAAUCAUAGAAGUGUGCCCUGGUAGAGUAAAAAAAUCAUCUGAGUUUUUCCCCACGCCAUAGUUAGUCAUAGACACGGAAUUUCUAAUCUGGAUAUGUAUAAAUAUAUUGUUAGUGUGAUCCAGUUUUUUCUUAAGAGAGUUGGCCAAUCAGGAAAACCUCAUGUUAUUUAGUCAAUAUCAAGUGAUUUAAACAAGCGUCAACUCAUGAUUAAUAUGGUAAGUAUGUGCCUUAGGAAUUUCUGUUUUCUGAUUUACUAUUUGUUCUAUUCAAGAUGAAAUCAAUCGUUUGGAUCUGAGCCUACAAGUUGCUUUGUUUCAAGGAAUCUAUUUUCCUAUUCUUAUUCCAAAUGAACUCAAAUCGUUUGGAACUAAACCUACAAGGUUGCUCUGGUUCAUGGAAUGUGUGCAUAUAGAGGACAUGGACAAUACCUUUGUCAAAUAAUGUCAUAGAGCUUGAACUUUUGACUAUUCAAUCAUUUUUUUGCUGCUCUAAUUUGCUCUCUAUGGAAAAAGAACCAAGGUUUGGACGGGUAAUUAGUCUGUUGAGCAAACAUAUUUUGGUUUGAGAGUAAUAAGUAGGAGUAACAUCACAAGAUUGACCACAUUUUCCUAUUAGGUACAGCCUGAUAUCAAUAUGCACUUCCGAAAUCUGGAAUGAACCUUACAACAAAAAGAAAAAUAAAUAUGUGAUAGUAAUUUAUUUUAUAGUCUGACUCUAGCUUUGUAGUUCGCCUAAGGUUGGUUGCUCAAAAAUUCUGUGAUGCAGUUGGGUGGUGUGUCCGGAAUUCUCUGUCUUCUUUUUCUCCGAUAAGAAAAACUUUACUGGCCAGGAGAUCUCCCCAUACCUGAGUCUCUAACAUGGUAAUCAAUUUCAGAGCUGUCAGUUUGGUUCAUCUUGCAAGAGAAUCGCUCUUUCUUUCGGUUAUUCCUAUGGUGCUCUCCAAUUCUUUAUUUUCUUGGUGAUAAAAGGCAGGGUGUCAAAGGUGGAGUAAUUCAUUAGAGGUAUCACUCGAACAAAUUUAAUAUCAUGGAUGGAGAGUUGACAAUAUGCACUAUCAUUUACCUGUGUUGAACAUGUAUUAGAGGUAUAAUUUCUUUCAAAGAUCAGUCAUUAAGAUAUGUUACUUAUUUUGUUACAUACUUUUUACUGAAAAUAUGCAUUGUCAUUUAGCAGUGUUGAACAUGUAUUAGAGCAGAGUAGAAGUUAAUUUCAGGGAAGUUUAAUGGUAGAUACUUUAUGUUUGUUAACAAAAAACUUGCAACCCGCAUUAUAGGUUUAUUUUCUUAAUAUGAUUAAAAGAGAAGGGCAUGUAGUACCAUCAAAUUAAUUUUCUUCAGAUCAACCUAAUUGGAUGGAUAUAUUAUGUGUGAAAUUUGGCUAUUUAGUAGUGGAUAGUUUAUCACCAUAGUCUGAUUUUAUUUUCUUACCUUGGCAAGCUGAAAACUAAUUUUCCUUUGAGACAAACGUUAGCUUAUGAUGCGAGCUACCUUCUAAAAAACAUAGCAUGGUCUUUCCAUCUGUCAUUCGGGGGAUGGUAGAGUUUGUUUUAAUGGUCAGUCUUCAGAUGUCAUAGUUUGCACACAAAUCACUGCAAUAUCAUGCACCUCAAAUCUGCGCCAAUCUAGAUUUCUAUCACUCUAUACUGAACCAACCUAGAUUGCUAUCAGUCUAUACUGAAUUAAUUUCGGUACGAGCCACCCACAAGACAAAUGGUAGGGCUCUAUGUGGCUGUGAGGCAAGCUAUUCUUUCGAAGUGCCUGGUAAUUUUAUUCACACCAAAAUGGUAAGGUUUUGCUCCUUUGAGGCAACACAACUGAUAUUAUCAUUCACAUCAAAAUGGUAAGGUUUUGCUCCUUUGAGGCAACACAACUGAUAUUAUCAUUCUUGUUGUUGUGUCUGAAUUGAAUUUUGAUAUCAUUGUAAGCUGUUGUAAUAUCCACAUAGUUGCACAUGACUUGCCAAUUUGUUCAGUGCGUUGGAUGAUUUAAUUUCAGACUAAUUAUCUUUAGUGAAAACCGGUAGUACCUAGCCCUAUGAUGCAAAGGAUGUUGGAAGAAACCUUACCUCCAUGACAAUGCGUAAAAUAGCCCUAAUAAAUGUCGGUGCCUAUAUACAGAAGCAGAGCGAAGGGCCUUACAUGAUAUUAAUUGGCUUACACGUCAUCUCUUUACUGAAAAGGUGCUAAAUCUAACAAUUUCCUUGGCCACACCGGUAAAUCCUUAACUCAGAUUGAACAUGCAUCCUUCAUGUGUCUAUCAUAUACCAUUGUUAUCGAGACAGCACAACAUAUAAAUUAGCAGAAGAAUACGUUUCCAUGAAGACGCAAGAGUAUUACAACAGUGCACCUCUGUUUUCAAAUCAACCAAGAACAUACAAAGCAUGUUUGCAGUAACAUAUUCGAAUUCUCACUUAUGUGCAGGCUGUAACUUUUCCUGCAGAUAGGCUUGAAGAUAUCUCCAGCUCUCUUAUAUUUCUUUUUGCAGGGAGACAACUCUACUGGUUGGGUAUUAACUAUACACUCUGAAGUGGUGAUGGCAACCACUAAAGCUGUGCAGUUUCGGAAACACACCAUGGCUGCUAAGACAUUAUCACUAACAGACUGCUAAGAAACACUACGGAAAUUGGCUUCCUUCUCCAUGAAUGUAUUCACAUGUAUUCACAUAUCCGUUGAAAAUAACAUGAUGUACCAACUCUACAAACUACUACACAUGUUACAUCAUGAAGUCGGAAUAGUUUAUGUAGAUUGCAAUGUUUUGUGUCGUA